GAAGGGGGCUAGCGUUGCUCGGAAUUACUGGGCGUAAAGGGCGCGUAGGCGGACAGUUUAGUCAGAGGUGAAAGCCCAGGGCUCAACCUUGGAAUUGCCUUUGAUACUGGCUGUCUUGAGUACGGGAGAGGUGUGUGGAACUCCGAGUGUAGAGGUGAAAUUCGUAGAUAUUCGGAAGAACACCAGUGGCGAAGGCGACACACUGGCCCGUUACUGACGCUGAGGCGCGAAAGCGUGGGGAGCAAACAGGAUUAGAUACCCUGGUAGUCCACGCCGUAAACGAUGAGUGCUAGUUGUCGGCAUGCAUGCAUGUCGGUGACGCAGCUAACGCAUUAAGCACUCCGCCUGGGGAGUACGGUCGCAAGAUUAAA
rnacentral:rRNA from 1 species